UACCCUCGGGAAACUGAGGCUAAUAGUAGAUACCACAGUCCACCUGGAAUGAGGACUGUGCUAAAUGCUCCGGCGCCGAAGGAUGUGGCUGCGGCCGAUUAGGUAGACGGUGGGGUAACGGCCCACCGUGCCAAUAAUCGGUACGGGUCAUGAGAGUGAGAACCCGGAGACGGAAUCUGAGACAAGAUUCCGGGCCCUACGGGGCGCAGCAGGCGCGAAACCUUUACACUGCACGACAGUGCGAUAAGGGAAUCCCAAGUGCGUAGGCAUAGAGCCUACGCUUUUGUCCACCGUAGGGAGGUGGACGAAUAAGGGCUGGGCAAGACCGGUGCCAGCCGCCGCGGUAAUACCGGCAGCCCGAGUGAUGGCCGAUCUUAUUGGGCCUAAAGCGUCCGUAGCUGGCCGCACAAGUCCAUCGGAAAAUCCACCCGCUCAACGGGUGGGCGUCCGGUGGAAACUGUGUGGCUUGGGACCGGAAGGCGCGACGGGUACGUCCGGGGUAGGAGUGAAAUCCUGUAAUCCUGGACGGACCGCCGAUGGCGAAAGCACGUCGCGAGAACGGAUCCGACAGUGAGGGACGAAAGCUAGGGUCUCGAACCGGAUUAGAUACCCGGGUAGUCCUAGCCGUAAACAAUGCCUGCUAGGUGUGGCUCCCACUACGAGUGGGUGCUGUGCCGUAGGGAAGCCGCUAAGCAGGCCGCCUGGGAAGUACGUCCGCAAGGAUGAAACUUAAAGGAAUUGGCGGGGGAGCACUACAAACCGGAGGAGCCUGCGGUUUAAUUGGACUCAACGCCGGACAUCUCACCAGCAUCGACUGUAAUAAUGACGAUCAGGUUGAUGACCUUAUCCGAGUUUCAGAGAGGAGGUGCAUGGCCGCCGUCAGCUCGUACCGUGAGGCGUCCUGUUAAGUCAGGCAACGAGCGAGACCCGCAUCCUUACUUGCCAGCAGCACUGCGAAGUGGCUGGGGACAGUAGGGAGACCGCCGUGGCCAACACGGAGGAAGGAACGGGCAACGGUAGGUCAGUAUGCCCCGAAUGUGCUGGGCAACACGCGGGCUACAAUGGUCGGGACAAAGGGUUCCUACUCCGAAAGGAGACGGUAAUCUCAGAAACUCGAUCGUAGUUCGGAUUGUGGGCUGCAACUCGCCCACAUGAAGCUGGAUUCGGUAGUAAUCGCGUGUCAUAAGCGCGCGGUGAAUACGUCCCUGCUCCUU
rnacentral:rRNA from 1 species